AGUGAACGCUGGCGGUAGGCCUAACACAUGCAAGUCGAACGGCAGCACAGUAAGAGCUUGCUCUUACGGGUGGCGAGUGGCGGACGGGUGAGGAAUACAUCGGAAUCUACUUUUUCGUGGGGGAUAACGUAGGGAAACUUACGCUAAUACCGCAUACGACCUACGGGUGAAAGCAUGGGAUCUUCGGACCUUGCGCGAUUGAAUGAGCCGAUGUCGGAUUAGCUAGUUGGCGGGGUAAAGGCCCACCAAGGCGACGAUCCGUAGCUGGUCUGAGAGGAUGAUCAGCCACACUGGAACUGAGACACGGUCCAGACUCCUACGGGAGGCAGCAGUGGGGAAUAUUGGACAAUGGGCGCAAGCCUGAUCCAGCCAUGCCGCGUGGGUGAAGAAGGCCUUCGGGUUGUAAAGCCCUUUUGUUGGGGAAGAAAAGCAGCAAGUUAAUACCCCGCUGUUCUGACGGUACCCAAAGAAUAAGCACCGGCUAACUUCGUG
rnacentral:rRNA from 1 species